rnacentral:rRNA from 1 species
UCGAACGGAGCGCGUGAGAGCGAACAUUUCGGUGGGAGCAUUCGCGCAGCUUAGUGGCGGACGGGUGAGUAACGCGUGGACAAUCUGCCGCGCACAGGGGAAUAACAGCCGGAAACGGCUGCUAAUGCCGCAUAUGCGCGCAGCGUCGCAUGACGCAGCGCGGAAAGCAAUUUGCGGUGCGCGAUGAGUCCGCGUCCGAUUAGGCAGUUGGCGGGGUAAUGGCCCACCAAACCGACGAUCGGUAGCCGGCCUGAGAGGGCGGACGGCCACACUGGGACUGAGACACGGCCCAGACUCCUGCGGGAGGCAGCAGUGGGGAAUAUUGCACAAUGGGGGAAACCCUGAUGCAGCGACGCCGCGUGAAGGAAGAAGUAUCUCGGUAUGUAAACUUCUAUCGGCAGGGAAGAAAACGGACGGUACCUGACUAAGAAGCCCCGGCUAACUACGUGCCAGCAGCCGCGGUAAUACGUAGGGGGCGAGCGUUAUCCGGAUUUACUGGGUGUAAAGGGAGCGUAGACGGCUGGGCAAGCCUGAUGUGAAAGGCGGGGGCGCAACCCUCGGACUGCAUUCGCAACUGUCCGGCUGGAGCGCCGGAGGGGUAAGCGGAAUUCCUGGUGUAGCGGUGAAAUGCGUAGAUAUCAGGAAGAACACCGGUGGCGAAGGCGGCUUACUGGACGGCGACUGACGUUGAUGCUCGAA